rnacentral:tRNA from 1 species
UUUAAUAUGGCAGAAAAGUGCAAUGGAGUUAAAUUCCAUUUAUGAAAUCCUUAAUUAUUUCUAUUAAAA